rnacentral:tRNA from 6 species
GGGCUCGUAGCUCAGUUUGGUAGAGCGCUCGGCUGAUAACCGGGAGGUCGAGGGUUCAAAUCCCUCCGAGCCCA